rnacentral:rRNA from 1 species
GCCCCCUGCCCGGGUAGGAUGGCAACAUUGGAGAAAUCAGUGUGCGUGUUUGCCGAGUCCCCCAGUGACAAUGUGAUUAUGCCAAAGUUAGGCAUCAACUUCGAUACGCUUGGAGAAGCCUACGAUUUUUACAAUCUGUAUUCAUGGGAGAAAGGAUUCGGCAUUAGAUCCAGUGCUUUCCCGUAG